AUUGAACGCUGGCGGAAUGCUUUACACAUGCAAGUCGAACGGUAGAGGGGGCAACCCCUCGAGAGUGGCGAGCGGGUGAGUAAUAUAUCGGAACGUGCCCAGUCGUGGGGGAUAACGUAGCGAAAGUUACGCUAAUACCGCAUACGAUCUAAGGAUGAAAGCGGGGGACUCGCAAGAGCCUCGCGCGAUUGGAGCGGCCGAUAUCAGAUUAGGUAGUUGGUGGGGUAAAGGCUCACCAAGCCAAAGAUCUGUAGCUGGUCUGGGGGGACGACCAGCCACACUGGAACUGAGACACGGGCCAGACUCCUACGGGAGGCAGCAGUGGGGAAUUUUGGACAAUGGACGCAAGUCUGAUCCAGCCAUUCCGCGUGCAGGAUGAAGGCCCUCGGGUUGUAAACUGCUUUUGUACGGAACGAAAAGGUUUCUAUUAAUACUAGGAGCUCAUGACGGUACCGUAAGAAUAAGCACCGGCUAACUACGUGCCAGCCGCCGCCGUAA
rnacentral:rRNA from 1 species